AGACAGUACAGAGACAGGUCAUUAAGGAGCAGGUAGGGGUUAGACAGUACAGAGACAUGACAUAAGGAGCAGCUAGGGGUUAGACAGUACAGAGACAGGUCAUUAAGGAGCAGGUAGGGGUUAGACAGUACAGAGACAGGUCAUUAAGGAGCAGGUAGGGGUUAGACAGUACAGAGACAGGUCAUUAAGGAGCAGGUAGGGGUUAGACAGUACAGAGACAGGUCAUUAAGGAGCAGGUAGGGGUUAGACAGUACAGAGACAGGUCAUUAAGGAGCAGGUAGGGGUUAGACAGUACAGAGACAGGUCAUUAAGGAGCAGCUAGGGGUUAGACAGUACAGAGACAGGUCAUUAAGGAGCAGGUAGGGGUUAGACAGUACAGAGACAGGUCAUUAAGGAGCAGGUAGGGGUUAGACAGUACAGAGACAGGUCAUUAAGGAGCAGGUAGGGGUUAG
ensembl:lncRNA